rnacentral:rRNA from 1 species
UACAUAGGGUGCAAGCGUUGUCCGGAAUUAUUGGGCGUAAAGAGCUCGUAGGUGGUUCGUCACGUCGGAUGUGAAACUCUGGGGCUUAACCCCAGACCUGCAUUCGAUACGGGCGAGCUUGAGUAUGGUAGGGGAGUCUGGAAUUCCUGGUGUAGCGGUGGAAUGCGCAGAUAUCAGGAGGAACACCAAUGGCGAAGGCAGGACUCUGGGCCAUUACUGACACUGAGGAGCGAAAGCGUGGGGAGCGAACAGGAUUAGAUACCCUGGUAGUCCACGCCGUAAACGGUGGGCACUAGUUGUGGGGACCUUCCACGGUCUCUGCGACGCAGCUAACGCAUUAAGUGCCCCGCCUGGGGAGUACGAUCGCAAGAUUAAAACUCAAAGGAAUUGACGGGGCCCCGCACAAGCAGCGGAGCAUGCGGCUUAAUUCGACGCAACGCGAAGAACCUUACCAAGGCUUGACAUAUACAGGAAUAUGGCAGAGAUGUCAUAGCCGCAAGGUCUGUAUACAGGUGGUGCAUGGUUGUCGUCAGCUCGUGUCGUGAGAUGUUUGGGUUAAGUCCCGCAACGAGCGCAACCCUCGUUCUGUGUUGCCAGCAUUUAGUUGGGGACUCACAGGAGACUGCCGGGGUUAACCU